rnacentral:lncRNA from 1 species
GAUCAUUGGUGCCAUUCUGAUUUAUUCUCUUUCAAUAUCUGUUUAUAACACACGAGCUUCGUUGUGUGCAACGAUGGAGAUAAAUUUUGGCCCCUUGCUUUUCACAGCCAUUUUCCAGCUGUAUAUCAUCCAUUCUCCUCUCAUUUAGAUACUCACUCCUACUUCAGGAAAAAUAAAAAUAUCCCAGUAGUGUAGGUAAUAAAGCUGGGGAAACAAACUCGGAAGUGCAUUUUACAAUGGAAUUUGAUUGUGAUAAUUUUUCAUGUGUUAAAAAAGGAUUUAUUUAUUUAUUUAUUUAUUUUUUCCACAGAGAAGCAUCUCUGCAUUUAUUAGCUGAGUUCAUUGAAAAACUGUAUUUUGUAAUUUAAUGAGGCUGGAAGUUGCACAGGUAACAGCUGAAACAAAAGCUCCUGGCAGUGUGAAUUCACAUUUUGGAAGUGCACCGCCCUGCAAGCCUGUUGUAAACAUCUACAAAAAAAUACUGCAGAAUGCUAUAAAAGAGAAGAUUACCAAGUUGGAGGGUCAGAUGAGUAGAAAAUUACGAGCUGCUGGUCCGUGUGCUCAGCCUUCGCCUGCGAUUGCAUCUGCUGCAGGUGAGGCCAAUAAUUGUGGGAGCCCUGUAAUAGCUGCCAGGGAGGGAAUUAGUUCUGAUGGAUGGUAAAUACUUUGCCAGUCAUUUUGACGUUAUUUUCAAAAUCCUGGGUCAAUUAAUACUUCUUGAAUGGAUCAGAAAAAGAGGCACAAAACUGGAGUUGUUUAUUUUGUGUAUGUCUCUGUAUAUAUUGUAGGAUAUGGAGAGCUGGGUUUUGUUCAUUUUCUUUACCAAGGAAAUGAGCUGGGUUCUGUGUCCCCAGCCCAGAGAAUGGCUGGAGCUGCUGCUGGGGCCUGGCUGUGCCUGUGGCUCUCCCCCUGCUCCUCGGGGCUGAAUUCCAGUGGUGCCCAGAGCCAGCAGAGCCCUGUGCCCAGCCAGAGCCUGGAGCAGCUGUGGGCAGGAUGCUCCUGGAGCCCUCUGAGCCACUCCAGGAGAGGGAGAGCAGCAGCUCUGGGUCUGUUCUCACACCUCUCCAAGCCCACAGCCGAGGGGGUCUCGCUCCUCUGCUGGCUCUUUUCCCACGUUUCGUGUCCCAGGUGGGAAGUGUCCCCUUCCUCUCUCUUUCAGAGAAGGAUGCUGCAGAAGGGUUUCCAUCGGGAUAUCAGUGGGGGAAUGAAGGAUGGAGCCCCUUGGUGCUGCACAUCCCUCAGCAGGAGGGACCUCCCCGAGCACAGAGCUCCCCCAGACACGGCUGCAGAGGAUGGAGGAGCUGGGGGCACCUUCAGGCUGCACUCUUCACCCGAGCUCCUGGAUCCUGACUGGAGCAGCCACUGGAGCGUGGCACAGGAACUCUGCUGCCUGUGCAGCCUCGUCCUGAGGCACAGCCCGGCCUGGGGGCUCAGCCAGAGCCCCUGCACAACUCUCUGGGAUCUCUCUUCCCUUUUUUGGGGGCCCCAAAACCACCCAGAAAAGUUCUUUCCAUGGAAGCGACAGCCGUGCCGUGCCCGGCUCCUGAAGGGAAGGAAGGCUUUGUGA